GUUCUUGGGGCGAGGUGUAAUUCCUCACCGACGGUAAGAGAAUAUCUUGUUCUUAAGCCCGUGAGCGCCUGUAUUGUAAUAAUGCAGGGUCAAGCAGAUUUUGGUGCGAUUCCAAAGCCGACGGUUACAGUCCGGAUGAGAAAGAAC
rnacentral:ncRNA from 1 species